UUCCUACGGGAGGCAGCAGUAGGGAAUCUUCCGCAAUGGACGAAAGUCUGACGGAGCAACGCCGCGUGAGUGAUGAAGGCUUUCGGGUCGUAAAACUCUGUUGUUAGGGAAGAACAAGUGCUAGUUGAAUAAG
rnacentral:rRNA from 1 species